rnacentral:rRNA from 1 species
GACGAAGGGGCUAGCGUUGUUCGGAAUUACUAGGGCGUAAAGCGCGCGUUAGGCGGUUUGGCAAGUCGGAUGUGAAAGCCCCGGGCUCAACUCGGGAAGUGCACUCGAUACUGCUAGACUGGAGUGUGGGAGAGGUUGGUGGAAUUCUCGGUGUAGAGGUGAAAUUCGUAGAUAUCGAGAGGAACACCGGCGGCGAAGGCGGCCAACUGGACCAACACUGACGCUGAGACACGAAAGCUAGGGGGAGCGAAUGGG